CUUCGCCCAAUUGCAAUAAGUCCUGCUUAAAAGCUCAGGGAAGUUGGUGAAAAUCCAGCACUGCCCCCGCAACGGUAAGAAUGAAAAACAUAUCGUAUUGAAUGAUUUAAUUCACACCACUGCACAUUCUGUGUGGGAAGGUGGAUAUGUAAAUAUUGGCUGAUCAGUAUUACAUUUAAGUCCGGAUACCUGCUUAUUGUGCCCUUUAACU
rnacentral:ncRNA from 2 species